rnacentral:rRNA from 1 species
AUGAUGCAGCGCCCGCUCCUUGACAUCUCCCCGUUGUGGCCUUCAGGCUUUGAAGCAUCCCCAACCCCGCCACUCCAGUGCAACGGCAACCUGCAGCGAACCCCUACGCCACCCCGUGCUCGCCCCCAUGAUGCUGGGCACGACCUGCCGGCGGGCCUGGCUGAGCUCAUUGUGCCCUGCCUUGAGCUUCCGGCUACGCUCUUCUGCCCAAGGCAGCCAGCGCUCCUGCCAUCUGCAGCCACGCAACCUCCCCCUGAGAUGCCCUUGGCAUCUCCAAGGCCAAGCCCUCCAGCGGCCCGUCGAAAGACUUUGGCGGGCAUGAGAAUCUCCAAGGAGGGCGGCAUCUCUCUGCAACGGACCCGGCGACCUUCCAGCCGCACGCCGGCUGCUCCGGUGGCAAAGGUGGCCGAGCGCCUGGUUUGCCGCAGCCUGGGCAUAACCAAAGAUGGUCAAGAUGUAACUGCUUCGAUCCUGGAGGCGUUCACAGAGAGAUUCAAGGAGCAGCUCCCUCCUGAAGUGAUUGUGGCCAUGAGGGACUUCUUCAAGCUUGAUGACAGUUCUAUUAGCGCUGCUGAGGAUGCGCUGAUAGACCAUGGUGGUGCUGCGGCAUUAGACUCUGUGGGGCUGGAGCAAGACGGCCAGGGAUCGGAGCCGGCGAUCGCUUGA